GGUUGCGAUCAUACCAGCACUAAUGCACCGGAUCCCAUCAGAACUCCGCAGUUAAGCGAGCUCGGGCGAGAGUAGUACUAGGAUGGGUGACCCCCUGGGAAGUCCUCGUGUUGCAACCC
rnacentral:rRNA from 1 species